rnacentral:rRNA from 1 species
UACGAAGGGGGCUAGCGUUGCUCGGAAUCACUGGGCGUAAAGCGCACGUAGGCGGAUUUUUAAGUCAGGGGUGAAAUCCUGGAGCUCAACUCCAGAACUGCCUUUGAUACUGGGAAUCUCGAGUCCGGGAGAGGUGAGUGGAACUGCGAGUGUAGAGGUGAAAUUCGUAGAUAUUCGCAAGAACACCAGUGGCGAAGGCGGCUCACUGGCCCGGUACUGACGCUGAGACGCGAAAGCGUGGGGAGCGAACAGG